AAUAGAUACCCAGGUAGUCCACCCGUAAACGUUGGGAACUAGUUGUGGGGUCCUUUCCACGGAUUCCGUGACGCAGCUAACGCAUUAAGUUCCCCGCCUGGGGGAGUACGGCCGCAAGGCUAAAACUCAAAGGAAUUGACGGGGACCCGCACAAGCGGCGGAGCAUGCGGAUUAAUUCGAUGCAACGCGAAGAACCUUACCAAGGCUUGACAUACACCAGAACACCCUAGAAAUAGGGGACUCUUUGGACACUGGUGAACAGGUGGUGCAUGGUUGUCGUCAGCUCGUGUCGUGAGAUGUUGGGUUAAGUCCCGCAACGAGCGCAACCCUCGUUCUAUGUUGCCAGCACGUAAUGGUGGGAACUCAUGGGAUACUGCCGGGGUCAACUCGGAGGAAGGUGGGGAUGACGUCAAAUCAUCAUGCCCCUUAUGUCUUGGGCUUCACGCAUGCUACAAUGGCCGGUACAAAGGGCUGCAAUACCGUGAGGUGGAGCGAAUCCCAAAAAGCCGGUCCCAGUUCGGAUUGAGGUCUGCAACUCGACCUCA
rnacentral:rRNA from 1 species